rnacentral:rRNA from 1 species
AACGAGCGCAACCCUUGUCCUUAGUUGCCAGCAUUCAGUUGGGCACUCUAAGGAGACUGCCGGUGGUCAAACCGGAGGAAGGUGGGGAUGACGUCAAGUCCUCAUGGCCCUUAUGUCCAGGGCUACACACGUGCGUACAAUGGCCGGUACAAAGGGGCGCAAGACCGCGAGGUGGAGCCAAAAUCCCAAAAAACCGGUCUCAGUUCGGAUUGGAGUCUGCAACUCGACUCCAUGAAGUUGGAAUCGCUAGUAAUCGCGUAUCAGCAUGUCGCGGUGAAUACGUUCCCGGGUCUU